CCCUUAGAUGUUCUGGGCCGCACGCGUGCUACACUGAGUGGAUCAGCGGGUCAGGUUGCGCGAAAGUGUUUCCUAAUCUUGAAAUCCGCUCGUGAUGGGGAUUGACGGUUGCAAUUUUCCGUCAUGAACGAGGAAUACCUUGUAAGCGCGGGUCAUCAUCCCGCGCUGAAUACGUCCCUGCCCUUUGUACACACCGCCCGUCGCUCCUACCGAUUGAAUGGUUUAGUGAGGACUCCUGAUUGGCGCCGCCGCCCCGGCAACGGAGCAGCGGACCGCCGAAAAGUUGUUCAAACUUGAUCAUUUAGAGGAAGUAAAAGUCGUAACA
rnacentral:rRNA from 1 species